rnacentral:rRNA from 1 species
GACGAACGCUGGCGGCGUGCUUAACACAUGCAAGUCGAACGGUAAGGCCCUGCUUUUGUGGCGUGCUCGAGUGGCGAACGGGUGAGUAACACGUGAGUAACCUGCCCUUGACUUUGGGAUAACUUCAGGAAACGGGGGCUAAUACCGGAUAGGAGCUCCUGCUGCAUGGUGGGGGUUGGAAAGUUUCGGCGGUUGGGGAUGGACUCGCGGCUGAUCAGCUUGUUGGUGGGGUAGUGGCUGACCAAGGGUUGGUCGGGUAGCCGGCCUGAGAGGGGGGCCGGCGACAUGGGGACUGAGAUACGGCGCAGAGUCGUAGGGGAGGCAGCAGUGGGGAAGAUGGCACAAUGGUCGGAAGCCUGAGGCAGCAACGCCGCGGGCGGGAUGACGGCCUUCGGGUUGUAACCCGCUUUCGGCUGAGACGAAGCGGGAGUGACGGUAAUGGGUAAAGAAGCACCGGCUAACUACGUG